rnacentral:rRNA from 1 species
AAUGAACGCUGGCGGCAGGCCUAACACAUGCAAGUCGAACGGAUCCUUCGGGAUUAGUGGCGGACGGGUGAGUAACGCGUGGGAACAUACCCAAGGGUACGGAAUAGCCUCGGGAAACUGGGAGUAAUACCGUAUGUGCUAGAAAGAGGAAAGAUUUAUCGCCUUUGGAUUGGCCCGCGUUGGAUUAGGUAGUUGGUGGGGUAAUGGCCUACCAAGCCGACGAUCCAUAGCUGGUUUGAGAGGAUGAUCAGCCACACUGGGACUGAGACACGGCCCAGACUCCUACGGGAGGCAGCAGUGGGGAAUCUUAGACAAUGGGGGAAACCCUGAUCUAGCCAUGCCGCGUGAUCGAUGAAGGCCUUAGGGUUGUAAAGAUCUUUCAGGUGGGAAGAUAAUGACUGUACCACCAGAAGAAGCCCCGGCUAACUCCGUGCCAGCCGCCGCGGUAA